rnacentral:misc_RNA from 1 species
GGCACCUGUUCAUGCUUCAGCUAACUGGUAUCUGGACAAUGUCUUGCCUGUACUGCAGAGUUAUGGCAUAGCUGCAAUCUCCCCAUUCUCCCACCGUCUGACUUUUGAUAACUUGCCCAUGGAGAUCCAACGGUUACGUUGUAAAGUCAAUUUUCAAGCAUUAGUUUUUGUUCCCCACAUCAUAGCACUUGGAGAUGCUCUUGUCAGUCGCCUCAGAUAUCCUUCCAAAGGAGCUAAAGUCCUUAGCACUGAUUACCUAAGGGAAACCACUGAUGUGAUUGAUGAAAACAGAGCAAGGAAGUUUGUUGUGAUACACCUUCGUUUUGAUAAGGAUAUGGCUGCCCAUUCAGCCUGUGAUUUUGGUGGGGGCAAGGCUGAAAAAUUGGCUCUGGCCAAGUACCGACAAGUAAUUUGGCAGGGAAGGGUCCUUAACUCGCAGUUCACUGAUGAAGAAUUGAGGAGUCAGGGCCGUUGCCCAUUGACACCUGAAGAGAUUGGAUUACUUCUCGCAGCUUUGGGCUUUGACAACAGUACUCGUCUAUACCUUGCUUCUCACAAGGUGUAUGGUGGGAAAGCUAGGAUAUCAACUUUACGAAAAUUGUUUCCUCUAAUGGAAGACAAAAAGAGUCUUGCCUCUUCAGAAGAACGUACACAGAUUAAAGGAAAGGCUUCUCUGUUAGCUGCAGUUGAUUACUAUGUUGGCUUGCACAGUGACAUCUUCAUCUCUGCUUCUCCAGGAAAUAUGCACAAUGCAUUGGUGGGACAUCGAACUUACAAGAACAUGAAAACCAUAAGGCCUAACAUGGCAUUGUUGGGGCAACUGUUCCUGAACAAAAGCAUUAGUUGGCCAGACUUCCAACAAGCAGUUCUUGAAGGGCAUGAAAACAGGCAAGGCCAGAUCAGACUAAGAAAGCCAAAACAAUCCAUAUAUACGUAUCCUGCCCCUGAUUGUAUGUGCCAGGCUUAAGGUGAUGUAUCUGAAGGAUGUUGAGUUACCAUCUCCAUUCUAUUGAUUUGGCAGCACAACUAUUGUACGUGGCUGGUAUUAUAAAUAAACAAGAAAUUCCAUUUCUUCUUUGAUGGAAAAGAGCAGAGAUAGCAAUUUAGCAAGAGAAGAUGGGGUGGGGAGUGAUUUAGAUGAUGAUUGUGUAUUUGUCACUUCGUUUCUGGACCAGGAAAAUAUUUAUUUGUGAUUCAAUAGGUUACAGCUGUAUUUGUACCACUUUUGUUUCUGAAACCUUUGACUUUAUGUAGUCAAGGCGAGCCAGUACCUGUUUCGGGUUGUAGGACCUUAAAUUGGAUCUCAUGGUUUGGCUGAUGUUUGUUAGAGUGAUAAAUUUGAAUGCUCUAUGGGGCAUUUAACGUGAUUGUCUAGCGCAAAUGCAUCUGCCAGUGCUUAGGAUGAAGUGAAGAAUAAUAGAGAAGUAAGAACAGGCUUUCCAAACUGGGUAACAUCUGGCCAUCAACUGACCAAAAUACCAAUAAAAUCAUUCAAAGCUUAGAAAAUGGUAGAUUUCUAGUUGCUUUAUCGACAGUGUGAGGUGAACCAUAGUAUGAUUGCAUUGCACUAAUCAUGGAAUACACUAAGCUUGUAUGAAAGAGCUUAAAAGUGGAGGUUCAAUGCAAGAAGAUAGCAGUUCACGUUGUAAUACAGCCGCGACAGUCUACUUUGAGAAAAUUGUCAGCAAUACAUCAUGUUAAGGGUACCUAUGUAUAGCCGGCAUCCCUGGUAUUCAAAAUACAAUAAUGCCCAGAAAUAUUGUACUGUGAAAUACAUCAUAAUAAGCGCCUAACAUCCCCUCCAUUUUGGGCUUUUAAGUAUCCAUUAACAUGAGCCGCUCUAGGUGUGAAUGUGAGUAUAUCGGCAAAGAUCAAUUCAUAUAAUUUUCACUGGUCGGCGGAUGUAGAACUAGGCGGGGAUGGACUUUGAUCAUCUUUCCCAUCCUUCUCACCAGUUGGAGAUAUACAGUUCCAUUUCUGCCCGCAGCAGCCAUUUCCAUUGCCUCUUCUGGAGUUGAAUGGGAUGGGAAUGGUUCUCUUUGAGCCCUGCAAAGCAACACCGAGAAGAAGAUUUUCCUCUAAUGCAGGUCAUGAAACUGACGGCUGAGUGAUUGAUUCUCUCAGCUCCCUGUUUCAAUUGGGAAGAUUGCUGCACUCCACUUGCUUUGUCAGUACCAGCUUCUGUUAAAGAAACUGAAGGAUUAUCAAACUGGCUCUUGUAGUCCCAGGACUCAGAGUCUCAGGCUGCUUGCUGUCAGACAUCUUUUUGUUUUGUACACGUUAUUGGAAACUGAGCCUGCUGCUUUGGAUUCAGAAUUUGAUGCUUCUGCAAAGUUUGGCAUCUUGGGAACAGAAUUAGGUGAUGAUUUCACU